AGAGCAUACAGGGCAACCUGCUUGGCUUGUGUGAAUGUCACACCCUCCAUGGAACUGGAACAGUCAAGACAAAUAAUCACUUCGUUCUUUCCACGGAGGUCAGGGAGGACGUCCGCAAGCUCCGGUUGAAAGACAAGCAUGCAGGCCUAAAGGGAGAAGGAGGCAGUGGAUCAGAGGUUCUCGCAGCUUACAUGGGAAAAUACUCUCAAUGCCAAAAGCUUCUAGGACCCGUGAGAGGCUCAGCAGGAAACAAGGACCAAGAGCUACCUUCACCCCACUAACACUGAAUGGAGUGGCAUAUACCUGUACUUCUAGUACCUGGGAGGUCACAAGUUCAAGGCCAGUGUGGGAUACAAAGAAAGUUUGAGACCAGGCUGAACUACAAGGAAAGGCCCUGUUUCAAAAAAAUGAACUUUCAACUUCAAUAGAGUAUUUAUUAAUACUUUUUCCCAAUAAAUACGUGUUUUCUAUUACUAU
rnacentral:lncRNA from 1 species